rnacentral:rRNA from 1 species
GCAAGUCGAGCGAACUCUUCGGAGUUAGCGGCGGACGGGUUAGUAACGCGUGGGAACGUGCCCUUUAGCUCAGAAUAGCCCCUGGAAACGGGGAGUAAUACUGGAUACGCCCUUAUGGGGAAUAAAGGAUCGGCCCGCGUUAGAUUAGGUAGUUGGUGGGGUAACGGCCUACCAAGCCUACGAUCUAUAGCUGGUUUUAGAGGAUGAUC